GGAAGCUUAUUCCGGCGUGGGCUGGAAACCGCCUUGAAAGCGGAUUGCGCCUUAGGGCGUGGGGUUCGAUUCCUCAGGCUUCCG
rnacentral:tRNA from 1 species